rnacentral:rRNA from 1 species
AUUGAACGCUGGCGGCAGGCUUAACACAUGCAAGUCGAGCGGGGGAAGGUAGCUUGCUACCGGACCUAGCGGCGGACGGGUGAGUAAUGCUUAGGAAUCUGCCUAUUAGUGGGGGACAACAUCUCGAAAGGGAUGCCAAUACCGCAUACGUCCUACGGGAGAAAGCAGGGGAUCUUCGGACCUUGCGCUAAUAGAUGAGCCUAAGUCGGAUUAGCUAGUUGGUGGGGUAAAGGCCUACCAAGGCGACGAUCUGUAGCGGGGCUGAGAGGAUGAGCCGCCACACUGGAGCUGAGACGCGGCCCAGACUCCUACGGAGGGCAGCAGUGGGGAAUAUUGGACAAUGGGGGGAACCCUGAUCCAGCCAUGCCGCGUGUGUGAAGAAGGCCUUAUGGUUGUAAAGCACUUUAAGCGAGGAGGAGGCUACUUUAGUUAAUACCUAGAGAUAGUGGACGUUACUCGCAGAAUAAGCACCGGCUAACUCUGUGCCAGCCGCCGCCGUAA